rnacentral:rRNA from 1 species
AUUGAACGCUGGCGGCAUGCUUUACACAUGCAAGUCGAACGGUAACAGGCCGCAAGGUGCUGACGAGUGGCGAACGGGUGAGUAAUGCAUCGGAACGUGCCCAGUCGUGGGGGAUAACGCAGCGAAAGCUGCGCUAAUACCGCAUACGAUCUAUGGAUGAAAGCGGGGGACCGUAAGGCCUCGCGCGAUUGGAGCGGCCGAUGUCAGAUUAGGUAGUUGGUGGGGUAAAGGCUGACCAAGCCAACGAUCUGUAGCUGGUCUGAGAGGACGACCAGCCACACUGGGACUGAGACACGGCCCAGACUCCUACGGGAGGCAGCAGUGGGGAAUUUUGGACAAUGGGCGCAAGCCUGAUCCAGCAAUGCCGCGUGCAGGAAGAAGGCCUUCGGGUUGUAAACUGCUUUUGUACGGAACGAAAAGGCUCUGGUUAAUACCUGGGGCACAUGACGGUACCGUAAGAAUAAGCACCGGCUAACUACGUGCCAGCCGCCGCGGUAAAAC